UGCGCAGGCGGAUUAAUAAGUCGGGGGUUAAAUCCAUGUGCUUAACACAUGCACGGCUUCCGAUACUGUUGAUCUAGAGUCUCGAAGAGGAAGGUGGAAUUUCCGGUGUAACGGUGGAAUGUGUAGAUAUCGGAAAGAACACCAGUGGCGAAGGCAGCCUUCUGGUCGAGUACUGACGCUCAUGCACGAAAGCGUGGAGAGCAAACAG
rnacentral:rRNA from 1 species